AUGAACGCUGGCGGCGUGCCUAAUCCAUGCCAGUCGAGCGAACAGACGAGGAGCUUGCUCCUUCGACGUUAGCGGCGGACGGGUGAGUAACACGUAGGUAACCUACCUAUAAGACUGGGAUAACUUCGGGAAACCGGAGCUAAUACCGGAUAAUAUUUCGAACCGCAUGGUUCGAUAGUGAAAGAUGGCUUUGCUAUCACUUAUAGAUGGACCUGCGCCGUAUUAGCUAGUUGGUAAGGUAACGGCUUACCAAGGCAACGAUACGUAGCCGACCUGAGAGGGUGAUCGGCCACACUGGAUCUGAGACACGGUCCAGACUCCUACGGGAGGCAGCAGUAGGGAAUCUUCCGCAAUGGGCGAAAGCCUGACGGAGCAACGCCGCGUGAGUGAUGAAGGUCUUCGGAUCGUAAAACUCUGUUAUUAGGGAAGAACAAACGUGUAAGUAACUGUGCACGUCUUGACGGUACCUAAUCAGAAAGCCACGGCUAACUACGUG
rnacentral:rRNA from 1 species